AGCCCGACCCAGGGCUCGAACCCAUGGACUGUGAGAUCAUGACCUGAGCUCACUCAAGUCGGACGCUUAAACAACGGAGCCACCGAGGCGCCCCCCCCCUUCCUGCCUCUAUAAAUACAACAUGCAUAAUUAGUAAUGCUUGGCAGAAAAAGAGACAUAAAAUAAAAAUAAAAAUCAUAUCUUAAUUUUUUUGAAACUUCAAAAUGAGUACUAUUUUAUUUGGACUUCCUUCUUACGGUCCAAAGGUUUUCUUCUCAUCCAUUAAGGAAUCAAAAAUUGACUCUCUACUUUAGCUUUCAUUCCUUCUUAAACAUUGCCUUUAAUUCCCUGAUGGCCGCCUGUCCACUAAAGACAUUGGAAUGUGACACACUCCAGGUUUCCAGCGAUAUUUCAAAUAUUUUCUUAAAAACAAUUUUCAUUUUGGCGAGACUCGGAAUCCAUGAACACGUUCUGUUAUGCGUUCUCUUACUGUUUAUAUAUAAAAAAAACUAAUCUUCCUUCUGUUUUACACUUCUGUUUGUGCUCUAUGUUAUUUGUCUCUGGCUGCUGUGAAACAAAUUCUGUUUUAAAAAAGAGUAAGUCCUAUCUCCUUCCUCAAUAACAUCUGGGAAAUCUGCUAUUAUGAACUCUUUUUUUUUCUCGAAGGAAUACAAAGGGCCUUGAAAAUACAUAUUGUUAUGUGUACAUGAAGAGAGGAAAGGCCUUCAAACAUUCCUAUGAUUCCCUCCAGGGUCGUUAGGAGGCAUGGUUGUGAGCACAAGAUUGUAACCUUCCCAGGAGAGAAGGUAUAAAAAAGCCAGGCCUUAGAAAACGGUGGAGGAUGAUCUCUCCGCUGAACCUGGAACUUUGCUUAUGUGAAUAACGAACACUCCUCCUUUGUGCGACUGAAUACGUGUGACAGGGAAGAAGCCGCCCGGCACGGGUCCACGUGCACCUGCUUGGUUUUCAUUAUUUUCCGCCAGGGGAAAUGUACGAUUUCCCCACAGCAGGGAGGCCCGCGAUUGUGACACACGGGCUCCCGGAUGCCGUCGGGAGGCUUCCUGAGGAGGCCUCGUGGCUGUGACACGGGAGGCCCCGCCGCGGGCAGCGCCCGUCCUCUGCUUCUCUCUGGCUGUGAGGUUGCAGGUGGGCGGCUGGCGGGGGGGCCGGUGGCCGCGGCACCUGCAGGGUCGGCGCCCGGGGCUCAGCUGCGGGCCAAGGCGGAGCUCCGCCGGGCCAGGUCCCUGCUCUGGCUCCACCCAGAAGUUGGACUCAUGAAGGAAAGCCUGCCCCUGCCUCCCGUGAACCCUCUGUCUCCAUCCAGCCCAGAAUGCCCCGCGAAGGCACGAGUCCUCUGAGAAGCAGAGCAGCCGAAGGGAGAGUGUGUCCUUGAUGAUGCCGAGAGGCUGAAACCUUGACAUUUUCCUGCGGUCGAGUUGUCUCCCCGUUUCCAGAGGUGGUGCGUCCACAGGGCUGGCGUGGGGUGUUCUGGGCACACCCGCCGCCUAAGGAUGCCCCUCCCCUGCCUGUGGUGGGGGGUCCGGGAGGAUCAUGGCAGGAAUGGCAACUGUGUGAGAGCCGGAACCCCCUCUGUCUGUCUGUCUGCUGUUGGAUUCCUGCUCUGAGGACAGAGUCGGUUCUUGAUCUGCAUUCGUUGAGUCACUGAAGGGCUGGGAAGAACAAUAGAAUGGAAUCUUAAGAAUUCUGAAAUUGGAAUCCUGGAACAUUCGAGUCAGAAGGAGCCCUUGGAAAUCGCUUAGUCAAACCCAUUCCCUUUGCAAUUUCGUGAACCGAGUCUCAGGAGGACAAGUGAUUUGCUUCACAUCUGAGGCCCCGGGGCUGCUGCUCGGUUAGAGGGACCCGCGUAGCCCGCUGUGCUGUGUGCACCGGCUGAGGGGAGGCUCUCGGGACUUCUCCUCCCCUGACACACGGCCGAGGACAGUAGGGACAGGUGGCACAAAUAGGCCAGAGGACACAUGAUGAGAAGAAGUGGGUUCUGAGGAGACAGAGCUGGGGGGCGGGGGGGACGGGGGCCCAGAAAGGCUCCCCGAGCGCGAGCAGGUCGAAUGGCCCGAGGGCAGGUGAACCCCACAUGUGAGGCUCUUCGGCAAGAACGGGGUGAGGCCCGUCCCUCCAGUCCCUCAGGACUGCCCGGCUCAGCCAGAAUGCACGUCAGACCAUGUGCUCCCUCCUGGAAGCUUCUGCUGGCUUCUGUAUCCGUUUCCUAGGGCUGCCUUGACAAGUCGCCACAAACCAGGGGCUCCAAACCACAGAGAGCGGUCUUCUCCCAGUUUGGGGGGACAGAAGUCCGGAACCACGGGGUUGGCGGGGCUGGUGCGUCUGGCGGCUCCGAGGGGGCCCCUGCCCCUUGCCUCCAGCUCGGCCACGAGGACGAGGACUCAGACUCUCGUCCUCUGUGCAUCUCGGGACCUAGAGCUGGCCUGGCCCAGCGAGGGCGGAUCUGAGCCCCUGAGUGUGUGUCCCCCGGACCCUCGGACGGCCUGCGGGGCCCCUGAGGAGCACGAGGAGGAGGGGCGGGCAGGUUCGGGGCAGGGUCCCCAGGGCCCGGCUCCCGCCUCACAUCUGAAGGUCACAUUGGGCUUCUGCUGACGGGUGGACAGAGGCAGUGAGACGGAGCAAACGGAACAAGUCAAGACGACCCCAAGGACUUGGUCUGAGCAGCUGGAGAAAUGGGGCACCUGGUGAGUCGGGGGAGGGGCGUCUCAGGAGGAGCCCGCAGGGCAGGGAGGGGCCGAGAUGCAGGGAGACCAGGCCGGUGCUGAGCCGCCAGGUGGAACCUUCCGGAGAGGACGGGGCCUGAGCCCCCUCGCCCCAGGCUCAAGAGCUUCCUUCGUGGGAGCUGGAGGAAGACCACCUGCGUCGUCACGGAGCAGGGGAGGCCAGCCAGACCCUGCACUUGUGUCUCCCUCUGAGGGACAAAGGUCAGUGUCACAGCAGUCAGCUCUGAUGCUGGCUCUGGGCCAAGACCCUUAAUAUUCCAUGAGAACUGUGCACUGAUGAAAUUUUCAUUAAAGAAACAUUAUCCCUUUCA